rnacentral:sRNA from 1 species
AAAAAAAAAAUGGCAACGCACAGAUCAUAUUGAAGUCGCUAAGACUAAGACACUUUAUUGACAAAAUGACAAUAACUUUCAUCAGUUGCUUCUUUACACUGAAGUUCUAUGGUUGUCAAAAAGAUUAUGUUUGACAAGUUGGUUUUCACAGGAACAACAGGAAUUGUAUAGACUCACAGUUUUGAAAAUGUUACUGGUUAUAUCAAGACAUUUUUUGCUGUCUAAAACUAUUGGGAAAAUCUAUGUAAAAUGACAUUCAAGAUUUUGAAAUAGAUCUCUAAUUGUGUUUACAAAGACAUCUGAAGAACUAAUUCACUUAAUGUCAAUUAUGGACGACAUGAAACAAAACUUGAAUGAACUCAGAACUGUCAUUAAAACUGAGAAGAUAGAAAGGUCUCUGCCUUUAGAGACACUGGAAAACAGUUUAACUGGUCACAUUUUCAAAUUUAUUUUCAAGGAAGAGGCACAGACAUCUGAAGAACAAAAACCCUCAAUGUUGGAUGACAUAAAACAAGACUUUACUAAUGAUCUGAAAAAUGUCAUGAAAAUUGAGAAGAUAGAAUCCUCUUUACAUUCAGAGACACCAGAAAUUACACCCACUGAUCAUACUGUUGAAGAAUUUUCACCAGAAGAGACACUGGUAAGACUAUUUUAAUACAUAAAGAGCAAAGAUUUUAUAAAUGUAUUAUAUUUUU